GGCUUGCAGAUGUUAAUUGCAGGUCUGGCCUGCCCAAUGAGUAAUUAAAUGGCUGCGGUAUUUUGACCGUGCAAAGGUAGCAUAAUCAUUAGUUUUUUAAUUGAAAGCUUGUAUGAAAGGUUUGAUGAAAGGAUAUCUGUCUCUGUAGAAAUUUUUUUGGAAUUUUAUUUUUAAGUUAAAAAGCUUAAAUUUAUAUAGAAGACGAGAAGACCCUAUAGAGUUUGAUAUUUGUGUCAGAUUAUAAUUUAAGGAAAAUGUAAGAUUGGAUUUGUUUCAAGUAUUUAGCUGGGGUGGUAGAAAAAUUAGAUUAACUUUUUUUAUAUAGUUACAUUUAUUUAUGAGUAUAAGAUCCUGGAGUUAAGAUUGAAAGACAAAAUUACCUUAGGGAUAACAGCGUAAUUUUUUUUAGAGUUCUUAUCGAAUAAAAAGAUUGCGACCUCGAUGUUGGAUUAAAAUUAAUUGCUGGUGUAGAUGCUAGAAGAUUAGGUCUGUUCGACCUUUAAAAUUUUACAUGAUCUGAGUUUAGACCGGUGUGAG
rnacentral:rRNA from 1 species